GGGGCCUUAGCUCAGCUGGGAGAGCGCUUGCAUGGCAUGCAAGAGGUCACCGGUUCGAUCCCGGUAGGCUCCACCA
rnacentral:tRNA from 4 species